rnacentral:rRNA from 1 species
UACAGAGGUCCCAAGCGUUGUUCGGAUUCACUGGGCGUAAAGGGUGCGUAGGUGGCGAAGUAAGUCGGAUGUGAAAUCUCCGAGCUCAACUCGGAAAUGGCAUUGGAAACUACUUUGCUCGAGGGUCGGAGGGGGGACUGGAAUUCUCGGUGUAGCAGUGAAAUGCGUAGAUAUCGAGAGGAACACCAGUGGCGAAGGCGGCCUGCUGGGCAGUAGCUGACACUGAGGCGCGACAGCGUGGGGAGCAAACAGG